CCUGCUCCUAAUUUCAGAUGUUUCUCCCUCCCAAAAACACAGAGUGGACCUGUGUGUCCAGGAUGCUGCUGUCUUCCCCCUGCAAGCUGACUUGUGUGUGCUUUCCUUCCUUUUCUACAACCCAUGUCAGUUGCCCUCCUUGGAUGUCCCCUAAAUCUAUACACAUGCGUCUGCAUACAAUCUCCAUCCCCUCCCUGCUGCUAUCUUUAAUACUAAAAAAAAUGGCAGAGGAAGAGAAGAGGAAGCUGCCAGAAACAGAGUCUGACGGCUUUAUGUCAGAUACAUGUAAAAUAUAAGAGUGAGACUGGAUCUCACAUCCUCAAUACUAUACUUUUAUCUAAUAACUGCUUCCCAGCAUAAUUAACAUUGCUUCUCGGUGCAAUUUAUCGUAUACCUACCCCUAUGUUGCGUACUGUACAUGAGGCAUUAGUUUACUUUAGAGUAGGUUCCAAUUCAAAGAGGCAACCUUGUCGUGGUGAGUGGGCCUAUACUUUUUGAUCAAAUUGUAUUCUAAUGCCUCAUGUACAGCAUGCAACAUAGGGGUAGGUAUACGAUAAAUUGCACUGAGAAGCAAUGUUAAUGAUGCUGGGAAGUAGUUAUUAGAUAAAAGCAUGGUAUUGAGGAUGUGCGAUCCAGUUUCACUCUUAUAUUUUACACGUUUAUGUCAGAUACAGCCGCACUAGCAGCUAGGUGAUGGACCUUUACACAUUCUGAAAAUGCAAAAUGGUAGAGGAUUUUUAAUAAAAACUUAGAAAGUUGAAGCAAAUUAACAAUAAAAAAAACUGCAUAGCCUUUAAAUUUUGGUUAUAAAUAGCCACCACUAGGGGGAGCUCCCUGUAGACAAAUGUAUACAGAUCCCAUGGAACUCAGUAAUAUACUGUAUCUAGCUAGUGGAAGCAGAAGGCAAGCAGGGGAUUUGGAGCUCUGUAUCAGAAAAGAGAGCUCUGACAAUUUUAUAGAUAUUUCACUGAAUUCUUUAACAUUUCAAUAAAAUGAAUCUCCAAACAUUCUCUUCUGUGAGGUUGUAAAAAGUCUGUUUGGCUAUAUCUGUCACUAGGAAAGUUGAACAACAACCAAUAUGGCUACUUCAGAAUGAGCGACUCAGCUCUGGAUUCUUGCUCCUCCAGCAAACAGACAAUUCUGCCCUAAAGAAGUUGCUGUUAUAUAUACAUUUCUUCUACUGUGCCUCCUGCAGGAAAUUUACAGUAUUACGUGCUGGUUAUUCUAAUAAAAGAUGGUUCAUGUA